AUUGAACGCUGGCGGCAUGCUUUACACAUGCAAGUCGGACGGCAGCACAGAGAAGCUUGCUUCUUGGGUGGCGAGUGGCGAACGGGUGAGUAAUAUAUCGGAACGUACCGAGUAAUGGGGGAUAACUAAUCGAAAGAUUAGCUAAUACCGCAUAUUCUCUGAGGAGGAAAGCAGGGGACCUUCGGGCCUUGCGUUAUUCGAGCGGCCGAUAUCUGAUUAGCUAGUUGGUGGGGUAAAGGCCUACCAAGGCGACGAUCAGUAGCGGGUCUGAGAGGAUGAUCCGCCACACUGGGACUGAGACACGGCCCAGACUCCUACGGGAGGCAGCAGUGGGGAAUUUUGGACAAUGGGCGCAAGCCUGAUCCAGCCAUGCCGCGUGUCUGAAGAAGGCCUUCGGGUUGUAAAGGACUUUUGUCAGGGAAGAAAAGGCUGUUGCUAAUACCGACAGCUGAUGACGGUACCUGAAGAAUAAGCACCGGCUAACUACGUGCCAGCAGCCGCGGUAAUACGUAGGGUGCGAGCGUUAAUCGGAAUUACUGGGCGUAAAGCGAGCGCAGACGGUUACUGAAGCAGGAUGUGAAAUCCCCCGGCUCAACCUGGGAACUGCGUUCUGAACUGGGUGACUAGAGUGUGUCACAUGGAAGUAUAAUUCCCCUGUACGGGUGAAUGCGUGAGAUGUGGAGAAAUACCCGAUUCCCAGCCCCCCCCCUCGAGAACAAGAAGGGUCGUGCUCGAUGCCGGGGGGGGAGCAAGAAAGAUGCACAGUAAAGUAUUGGGAAGACAUCACAUGUAGGGGGGAGCUGGCCGCGACCCCCGGGGGGGGGCGGCGUGGAGUUUUGGGGCGAGGGCGCCCUGCUGCGGGGGGGGCCCCCCGUUCCCCCCCUUUUUCGCGGGGGGAACCCCCUUUUCGCGGGGGGGGGAAAAAAAAAAACGCCCCCCCAAAAAAAUGGGGGGAAAAAAAAAAAAAGGAUCUCCCCCCAUUCUUUUUUUUAAAAAAAAAUUUAUCACCCCCCCCUUUAAGUGUGGUCUUGCGGGGGGCGCAAUAACUUCUCUCGGGGGUAGAGGGGGGCGCCGGUACUA
rnacentral:rRNA from 1 species